UACGUAGGGUGCGAGCGUUGUCCGGAAUUAUUGGGCGUAAAGAGCUCGUAGGCGGUCUGUCGCGUCUGCUGUGAAAUCCCGAGGCUCAACCUCGGGCUUGCAGUGGGUACGGGCAGGCUAGGGUGCGGUAGGGGAGAAUGGAACUCCUGGUGUAGCGGUGAAAUGCGCAGAUAUCAGGAGGAACACCGGUGGCGAAGGCGGUUCUCUGGGCAUGUCCUGACGCUGAGGAGCGAAAGUGUGGGGAGCGAACAGG
rnacentral:rRNA from 1 species